rnacentral:piRNA from 1 species
UAUUGCCCAGGCGCUUGCA